rnacentral:rRNA from 1 species
UACAGAGGUCUCGAGCGUUGUUCGGAUUCAUUGGGCGUAAAGGGUGCGUAGGUGGCACUGUAAGUCGGGGUGUGAAAUCCUGAGGCUUAACCUCGGAACUGCAUUCGAUACUGCGGUGCUUGAGGACUGGAGAGGAGACUGGAAUUCAUGGUGUAGCAGUGAAAUGCGUAGAGAUCAUGAGGAAGACCAGUGGCGAAGGCGGGUCUCUGGACAGUUCCUGACACUGAGGCACGAAGGCCAGGGGAGCAAACGGG